rnacentral:rRNA from 1 species
GGUCUCAGUUCAGAUUGCAGGCUGCAACCCGCCUGCAUGAAGUCGGAAUUGCUAGUAAUCGCGGAUCAGCAUGCCGCGGUGAAUACGUUCCCGGGCCUUGUACACACCGCCCGUCACACCAUGGGAGCCGGUAAUACCCGAAGUCGGUGGCCUAACCUUUAUGGAGGGAGCCGCCUAAGGCGGGACAGAUGACUGGGGUGAAGUCGUAACAAGGUACC